rnacentral:rRNA from 1 species
AUUGAACGCUGGCGGCAGGCCUAACACAUGCAAGUCGAGCGGAUGAAGGGAGCUUGCUCCUGGAUUCAGCGGCGGACGGGUGAGUAAUGCCUAGGAAUCUGCCUGGUAGUGGGGGAUAACGUCCGGAAACGGGCGCUAAUACCGCAUACGUCCUGAGGGAGAAAGUGGGGGAUCUUCGGACCUCACGCUAUCAGAUGAGCCUAGGUCGGAUUAGCUAGUUGGUGGGGUAAAGGCCUACCAAGGCGACGAUCCGUAACUGGUCUGAGAGGAUGAUCAGUCACACUGGGACUGGGACACGGUACAGACUCCUUCAGGGAGGAGCAGGGGGGAAAAGUGGGCCAUGGGCGGAAACCUGAGCCAACCAGGCCGAGGGUGGGAAGAAGGUCUUCGGAUUGGAAAGGACUUUAAGUUGGGAGGAAAGGGAGUAAGUUAAUACCUUGCUGUUUUGACGUUACCAACAGAAUAAACACCGGCUAACUUCGUGC